GGGAAUGUGCCUUAUGUUCUCUCUUGCACAGUGGUGGUGUCUCCCUUGACCCUUCCUAACAAACACGACACGAUGCUUUGUUAACCCUGGAGGAAGGACAUCAUUGUCCUGCAGGAUGCUGGGUGUUGUUAUGAAUGCAAGAGCCAGCAGGGGAUGGUACAGAGGAUGCAGAGACCAACUCUCCCUAAGAGCUCAAAGCAGCUUCACAAGCAUUUGAACUGGGCCUUGAACAGUGAGCACAAAUUCUUCAGGCAAACAGAGAUGCUCUUCCCACAGAAUUCUGCAAAUCUUCCAGCCUGCUUUCUGGACCAGAGAAGCUUGGCUAAAGGAGCUGGACAUCGGGCAACCCCUCCCAUUUGGAUUGAGCCUCCAACAUUCAGAGGUUGCACCCCAUCAGUCUAAACAACAUUUUUUUUUGCGUGAUAGAAACACAGACCACAGAUUGGAAUUGUCUGUUUGUACUUAGAUGGGAAGUCCUAGCAGUUCUCAUCAACCCUUGAAGACGUUAAAAAUCACGCCACAGUUGGCCAACCGUCUGUUUACCUCUUGAAGAACUCUCUCAGAUGACAGUAAUCACAGGCAGGUUCUGAAUCACAGGCUGAUGUUAACAUGUACCAAGGCUAUACCCCCUGGAAAAGCCUAUUUCCAGCCUUCUGAGGCUACUUCAUUACUACCCUGGCUUUCCUGGCUCCUAAUGGUCAGGGUGGAGGGAGGGACGGAGGUAGGGGAGAUCUGGGAAGCCUGGUUAGCUAGAAGUUCCUGCCUUGUCACAGCACUAAUCCUGCAAUUUCUCCAUUGGAUUUCUGGACUGAUGAGCAAUUUUGAUGCUGAUAAGGCAGAAACACAAUCACUCUCCUGGGCCCUUGUAUUUUGCAGGGUAACUUGGAUAAUACACCCCAUCUCGGCACCUCUGCGAGUGUAACUCAUUUCCUCUGCCCAGAGGAGAAACAAGGACUCCUUGGACAAAACGGUGCUUCCUUUCAUAGCCAAUGAAUUGGGCAUUUCUCCAGGUUCUGUGAAGCUUAUUUAGUGACAUUCCCCAAAACCUGUGCCCCGAGAAGUUCCUUCUUCUCUGACUUUAGGUAGAGUCCGAGAUUCAUUUCAGUGAUUUGGCUAACAUGUAAAGUGUCUCACAUGUGAAAGAGAAUCAAAAUAACUUGAGCACAACAACAGACAAACAAAAGCAAUACUUGACCAAGACCUCUUGUACUUUUUCUGCUCUGGGACUCUCCAAGCACUGUUCACAAAUGCAGUGUAUGUGGAAAUCUAUGGUAUUGUUAUGAUCUGUCAGUGAUGGUGCAUAUUAAAACCCAGUUUUAGUUAAUAUUCACUCAUAGCCUUUGCUUGUUAAUAUUUACACACUUGGCUUAGAAGAUAGAAAGGCUCGGCCAGGUGUGGUGGCUGACGCCUGUAAUCCCAGCACUCUGGAAGGCCGAGGCAGGCGGAUCACGAGGUCAGGAGAUCGAGACCACCCUGGCUAACACAGUGAAACCCCAUCUCUACUAAAAAUACCAUAAAAAAUUAGCCGGGAGUGGUGGCGGGUGCCUGUAGUCCCAGCUACUCAGGAGGCUGAGGCAGGAGAAUGGUGUAAACCUGGGAGGCGGAGCUUGCAGUGAGCUGAGAUCGCGCCACUGCACUCCAGCCUGGGCGACAGAGCGAGACUCCAUCUCAAAAAAAAAAAAAAAAAAAAAAAAAAGAAGAUAGAAAGGCUCAACAGAAUUCUACAGAAAGAAACUCGAACCAUCCAAUCAUGACGUUAGCGAUGUGUUGUCUCUAAUCAAGUUACCUGAUUACCUAGGUAACAGGAGGCCUUAGCAGUCACCCCUGGCACGCAUGGACCACUUACUGGCAACUCUUUUGUGGCUGUGAAUUCAUAUAGUAUUUGGUUAAAUGGUGACACAAAAUUGAUCCCUAG
rnacentral:lncRNA from 1 species